rnacentral:snRNA from 1 species
AUCGCUUCUCGGCCUUUUGGCUAAGAUCAAGUGUAGUAUUUUCGAUCAGUCAUUCCCAAGAUAGUUUUGUGAUCAGAAUUUUGCCUAGAAGCUUCU